rnacentral:rRNA from 1 species
AGGCAUAGUAGAGAAAGUCUGAGGAGCAGGAAAAUUUGGUCACGUAGAUCUUCUAUUUCGCCGGAAUUCGUUGAUUGCUCCGUACUCAUUUACAAUGGAAAAACUCCUGUUCGUUGUAAGAUCACUGAAGGAAAGGUUGGUCAUAAAUUUGGAGAGUUUGCUUUUACACGGAGACGAAGACCCUAUCGAACAAAUAGAGCAAAGGGCGGAAAGGGGAAAAAGUAA